GACCCCUCUCCAGGCCUCACCCCAAGACUGCUACAUUGGGGACCAAGUACCAACGCACACUUUCCAGGGGACACGUUCAGACCGUAGGCGGAGCUUCGUCCCAGCUCCUGUGGAAGGGCGCUAACAAGGCCACCUUCCCCGCGGAGCUGGCCCCAGGGCUCGCCUAGCAGUCCAUGUGAGGCACCAGUACAGCCUCAGCAUUCCAACCCCUGCGCUGGCAUCUCGGUGUCACUGCCAUCGCCAUCUUCACCACGGAGGGAGGCUGUCUUCUCACUCGGGCCUUUCAGAACGACUGGGUCAAUGGCUCCGUCACAGAACUAAGGGGGUCAGGAACAAGCCUCUUGGGUCCACAGAGGGCUCUUGGCCUACAGAGGAAUCGAGUUCCAGAGAAGAGUGGGGACGUACCCGAGCCGGUCGGUGGCAGAAGAGGCGGAAUUCCAUGCAGCAAAGUGAGAGGUGAUCCGUCCAUCCCAUGGAUCCUCUUGGAAAUGUGAGGUCGAAGCUCCGGGUUUCCAUGCUACUUCUGGGUGUGAGGCACCGUUCAGAGGGAUGUAGCUUGGUUUGGGAUGCAGCCAGACACUCUGGAACGUGUUGUAUUUGGAUGGUUUGUGGACACAUGGGAAAAGAUUCCUGAGGACACCAAGGGGUACAAUGGAAAAAGCAAGAGCCCAGGAAGCACCCGUGGCUGGGAUCCCAGCUGCUCCACCAACUUACUGUGCAGAAACGGAGGCUCUCCCAGGCUCCUGCAGCUGCUGUGCCCCAUGGGCUCUUAAUCAAUGUUACAUGGUAAUUAAUAAUAGAUCCUCCAUCACUGGCGGUUCCCCGUUCUCUCUGACGAGUUGGCAUCUUCCUGGCCAGAAGAGGCUGAAAUCAAAGGCCUGAAAUCGGAGCUGAAAACUUUUCCUCCAAUAGCUUGUGGGAAGGAAUCAGGAGACUGGGACCCCUGGGCAGGUCUGGUGCUGGGUAAGACUCUCACACUAUCCUCGCUGUGACCCCGUGGAUGGUCUGCCCUGCUUCAGGGAGGGGGCGACAGGCGUGGGGACGCGUCGCCAUUUGUUCUGACGGUUCUCAGGCCCAUGUGGUUGGGGGUGAUUUGGGAGGUCUGCAGGGGGACCCGAGAAUCACCAAUGCCAGCGAGGUCCCAACUUAGGUGGAUGCUGCUGGUCCCUGGGCCACUCUUGAAGCACUGAUGUAUUAUUGACCACAUUCCGAGGGCAAGUUACUUGGUGUCGGGCACCAGGAACACAACUGGGAGAAAAGCCAACGCGGUUCCUGCCCUUUCCUUGGGUGGAACGGACCUGGCGCAUCACAUGACACGGAGGAAAGUAGGUUCUAGAAUCUGACAAGCUGCUCUGGAGCCCUGGUUCAGCAGGUUACACCGUCCAAUUCCGGGUUGUGUCCUGAGGAUGUGGAGAUUCAUUUAUCGAUUCCUUAAUUCAUCCGACACGUGUGUCUUGAACACCAAGAAUGUACCAGGCUGUCACGAGACGGAGGUCCAGAGGACGUGCUUCUCUCCAGGGAUGCCACUCAGCCCUGCCCUCCACAUCUCUGUUUCACCGUCCCUGGGAAGAUGGCAUUUGUUUCCACGAUUGUCGCCUUGCGGUCCCAGGGUGGUUGCCACAUCAUAUAGCCAUUCCUGAACGAAAUUUUAGUGAAGCCAGACAAAGGUACCAGGAUCUUUGGACCAGCCAAGAUUCACCCCAGGGCUCAGGUAGGGUCUGUCCUCCCUGAGACCCGUGGCUUACCAGUGCCAUGGGAACAAAUCAAAGUGUAAUCAACAGGGCAGAGCAGGAUGAGGUAGGAGGGAGGGGCGUUCCUAAGAGAGGACAGUCACAGACCUCGAGGAAGACAUUAUGAUUUCAUCCCAGGGAUGGGCUCUUAUUGGUCAGUGGCCAUUCCCACUUGCCUAGCUCCGGGGAGAGUACAUGGUCUAAAUAGGGCAUCUGAUCCAUAAAGAGAUAUAAAAGGCCCCUCGCCUUCCAGGUAGUGGGGUACUUGAGCACAGAAUGUCCGGAACCUCCGCAGUCAUUUUGCUCUCACAAAGUAAUCCAGUCUGAGGAUGAAGCUAAUACGCACUCAGAGAACGGGGUGGAGACACAAAGGAAUUCCCAAGUGGUAGAGCUAAGGCCUUGAUCAAACUAUACCUGAGGUCCUCCAGACUUCUGGGCUUUUUGUUUACAAAAACUAACACAUCCUCUGAGUUGUGCAAACCUACUUGACUGAGGUUUCUGAUGCAACAAGAGCUGUAACUGAUAGAGAUGCAAACGGGAACUCGAAGAAAAAGG